CCUUUUCGCCUCUCCUCGUUCUCUCCCUCGCCUUUCCUUUCCUUUCUCUUCCUCUCUUCCUCGCUCCUCGGUCUCGGCGCUCUCCCAGCUUUUCUUCUCCUGGCUCCUGGUUCCCCGCUACGCCACCAGUCCACUCACCUCUCUCCUUGCCCUACUCCCUCCGCUACUCCCUGACGCCCCCUGCAGCCCCCAGCCCCCCUGCAGGCCCCAGCCCCAGUAAGUUUGGAGAGGGGAACAAAUGCUGAGCCUAGGUAGGGACCACCUUGGGGAGGAAGCCAAAAUCACACUGCUCACCCGAGAGCCCCUGCCCCGCGCUGGCACGCCCCCGCCUGGAGUGCACUCGUGGCCCCGGGCGCUGUCAGGUACCCGAAUUGGGGCUGCCACCGUGUCGGAGGCGAGGCGAGGAAGGGAGCUGGAAUAACAAAGGCAAGUAAUGGGGUAGAUUGGAUACCUCUGGGGUCUUGGAAGAAGCUAUGACUUAUUUACUGUCUACUAUGUGCUGAAGCCACUUGCUCAGAGCCGCACAGCAAGCCCACCACCCUGAACCUCCAGAUUACCAACUCAGCAUUGUGUCCUGACAGUGUCAUCAUAGAUGGUCAACACCGUCACCUGGGCAGCACUGAAGCCCAGAGCGGGAGAGACUGGCUCAAGACCAUGGGGAGCUCAGGAGGGGGAAUUGCACUGAAGAUUUGUCCCAUCGUGAAGCAAGAGCACUGGAACUUACACUCCACCAUCAGGCCCUGUCACAGGAGAACAAAGAAGGAAGGCAGAGGAGAUCAUGCUCCGGCCAGCAGGGAAUCUCCAUUUUUUUCAGCCUCAUACCUUGGAAAGUACAAAGGAGUGAGAGCUGGGACUACCAGCCAGAGGGUUCAUGGAGGUAGUGGGAGGGGAAGAUGGGUUCUGCAUGGAGCCACUCCAGGGACUUUUCUUCUGUCUCACAGCCUGACAAUCACCUCUAGCUGUUCUCAGUCCCAUUCUCAUCAAUGACCUCGUCUCCUGAUUUUGUACAAUAUCUAGGUGACCUUCUCUUCUUUCCAUCUUCAAACGCUUGAUCAUUGAUGCUCCCUUUUCUCUUCUCUCUCCUCCUGGGAAAAGAGAAGGACCAACAUCCCCCUUUCCCUUCCUCCUGUGCUGUCCCGACCCCUCUGAGACCUGGCUCUAGCAGUAAGUCCCUCUCUCUUCUGCAGCACCAGCCUCUGCCCAUCCCUGCCCUCUGCACACAAAGCUCUCACAUUGUCUGCACUUUAAGAACUUUUGUGGCAAACCCUGGCAAAUCCUGCCACUUGUUUCCACUCUUCUCAAAUGGCUUUGAGGUCAUCAUUGACCUAUCCCAUUUGACCCUGUCCUGUAUCUGAUGUUGUACCCUUUCUCCUUGAUCCCACUCUGGCAACUCUCCCACUCCCCUUUCUUGGAUCAACUGUCUUGCUCCUCAGUCUUGAUCAAUGCCUCCUUCUCUCUCUUUAGCCUUGGCCCUUUUUGGCCAGGGAAAUAAAUGUGAAAUACAUAAAGCUUCAUUUUAUCUUAUGAUUAUAGCUAUGUUGAUGUUACCCAAGACCUAAAAGUCACACUCUCUAAUUACACUUCCCUCCUGUGUUCUGGGUCCUCUUGGACCAGUCCUUACUCUGGCUCCCCUCCUGGAUGUCUCCCAGACUUCUAAUUAGAAUUACUGUUUCCUAUAUCAAGCUAAUUAUCUUUCCCACCAACCUCCUCCAUCCUUGGGUGAAAGCAUCACUUGGUUGCAAAAGUCAGAAAUCUGGGUUUCAUUCUUGCGGUAGGUAGAAUAAUGCCCCCAGGCCCCAGGUUUUGACAUCCGAAUCCCUGGGACUUUGCAGAUGUGAUUCAGUUUAGGAUUUUGAGAUGGGGAGAUUAUCUGGGAGAGCCUGAUGUCAUCAUAAGGUUCUUAUAAGAGGGAGGCAGGAGGGUUAGAGUGAGUAGUAAGAGAUGCAACAGUGGAAGCAAGAGGUUGGGGUGAUGUGGCCACAAGCCCAGGAGUGCUGACAGACAUCAGAAGCUGGAAGGGACAAGGAAUGGUUUCUCCUCUGGAGCCUCCAGAAAGAACCAGCCCUGCUGACACCUUGAUUUUAGCCUUGGAAGACUCAUUUUGGACUUCUGACCUUGAACGUUGUAAGAGAAUAAAUUUACAUAUUUUAAACUGGUAUGUUUAUGGUAAUUUUUUAACAGAAGCCGUAGGAAAGGAAUCCGAUCCUGAUGCUGUUUCUCCAUCACUAGCUGCACUCAUUUGGCCCCUAGUCCAAUCAAUUUUAUCUCCAAAAUACCUUUCAGGUUAGCUCCUCCUUUCUGCCUCAAGCCUAUGUAAUCAUUAUUUCUCCUAAGAGGUCCUGCAAUGAUCUUUUAACUGAUCACCCUAUUAUUCCGUGCCAUCCCUGUCACUGUGUCAAGAGUUAGGAUCUGAUCUGCAUUUCAUGAAAAUGAUAGUCCUCUCUCCACAACUUUGCAGGCUAAAGCAGGGAGUUUAAUUACUCAGGCUAUGGGGGGCCCUGGAAUGUGCUCUAUGACCAGUCACUAGCCUCUCUCUCCUGCCCAGAUCCCUACCUCACACCCUACCAUUUAGGCAAUGGGGGUAAUGGCAGUGGGCACUUUGUCCAUGUGGUUUCAUCACCCUGACAUACUCUCCUGUGACUUCUACCAACCCUUCAAGAGUCUGCACCUUCUUUGGGCCUCAGCUUUCUCAUCUGUACCAUCAAGGGGCUUAUCCAGAUGAGCUCAAAGCUCUAUGGAACUCCUCAGCCUGAAUAAUUGAACAGAGUAGAUUUCAUUCACC
rnacentral:lncRNA from 1 species